rnacentral:rRNA from 1 species
GCGUGAGUGAAGAAGGCCCUAGGGUUGUAAAGCUCUUUCAGAUGUGAGGAUGAUGACAGUAGCAUCAGAAGAAGCACCGGCUAACUUCGUGCCAGCAGCCGCGGUAAUACGAAGGGUGCUAGCGUUGUUCGGAAUUACUGGGCGUAAAGGGCGUGUAGGCGGAUGAUCAAGCUAGAGGUGAAAGCCCAGGGCCCAACCCUGGAACUGCCUUUAGAACUGAUUGUCUAGAAUCCGUAAGGGGAGUGUGGAAUUCCUAGUGUAGAGGUGAAAUUCGU